CAAAGAUUCAGAGAAGCCAGAACGUGGCUCUGCUCCCAGUUAACCUGCUGGAGCUCAUCAGGCUUGCUCAGAGCCCCUGCACCAACUCACCCUGUACCCUCUCUCCUUCUUCGUUAGUCUUCUUUCCCCCUUUUCCCUCCUCUGUUUGUGCCUACCCCCCCCCCCCCCUUUUGCAUCUGACCAAAGGACGAAUGAGGGAGACGUUCCUGCAGAUCGGGGCAGCAACUUUCCUCAGCUGGUCUCUGGGCUCCGGGAGCCAGAGAGCGCUGAUCCUCCGCGGUCUGCGGCCCAUGGAAGAGGAGGAGGAGGAGCCGUGAUGGGCUAGCGACAGCACUGAGGAGCCUCGAGCGAGCUCAGCCUUGCCAGCCAGCUCCGCGGUCCCACGCGGGUUCCCUCGAGCUCGCUCCGUGGGGAGCGCGCAGCGUGCUUGGAACCGGAGCAUCCAGAGAGGAUGAGGCGGGGACCCGGCCCAAGUUGGGUGCAUCUCUCGGGCGUCCGGCAGCGGCUGUAUCUCGGCAUGAAUUAAGAAGCUAGGAAGAUGGAGCACGGCACACUCCUCGCCCAGCCCGGGCUCUGGACCAGGGACACCAGCUGGGCACUCCUCUAUUUCCUCUGCUAUAUCCUCCCUCAGACCGCCCCGCAAGUACUCAGGAUCGGAGGGAUUUUUGAAACAGUGGAAAAUGAGCCUGUUAAUGUUGAAGAAUUAGCUUUCAAGUUUGCAGUCACCAGCAUUAACAGAAACCGAACCCUGAUGCCUAACACCACAUUAACCUAUGACAUCCAGAGAAUUAACCUUUUUGAUAGUUUUGAAGCCUCGCGGAGAGCAUGUGACCAGCUGGCUCUUGGUGUGGCUGCUCUCUUUGGCCCUUCCCAUAGCUCCUCCGUCAGUGCUGUGCAGUCUAUUUGCAAUGCUCUCGAAGUUCCACACAUACAGACCCGCUGGAAACACCCCUCGGUGGACAACAAAGAUUUGUUUUACAUCAACCUUUACCCAGAUUAUGCAGCUAUCAGCAGGGCGAUCCUGGAUCUGGUCCUCUAUUACAACUGGAAAACAGUGACCGUGGUGUAUGAAGACAGCACAGGUCUAAUUCGUCUACAAGAGCUCAUCAAAGCUCCCUCCAGAUAUAAUAUUAAAAUCAAAAUCCGCCAGCUGCCCUCUGGGAAUAAAGAUGCCAAGCCUUUACUCAAGGAGAUGAAGAAAGGCAAGGAGUUCUACGUGAUAUUUGAUUGUUCACAUGAAACAGCCGCUGAAAUCCUUAAGCAGAUUCUGUUCAUGGGCAUGAUGACCGAGUACUAUCACUACUUUUUCACAACCCUGGACUUAUUUGCUUUGGAUCUGGAACUCUAUAGGUACAGCGGCGUAAACAUGACUGGGUUUCGGCUGCUUAACAUUGACAACCCUCACGUGUCAUCCAUCAUCGAGAAGUGGUCCAUGGAGAGACUGCAGGCCCCACCCAGGCCCGAGACCGGCCUUUUGGAUGGCAUGAUGACAACUGAAGCGGCUCUGAUGUACGAUGCUGUGUACAUGGUGGCCAUUGCCUCGCACCGGGCAUCCCAGCUGACCGUCAGCUCCCUGCAGUGCCAUAGACAUAAGCCAUGGCGCCUCGGACCCAGAUUUAUGAACCUGAUCAAAGAGGCCCGGUGGGAUGGCUUGACUGGGCAUAUCACCUUUAAUAAAACCAAUGGCUUGAGGAAGGAUUUUGAUCUGGACAUUAUUAGUCUCAAAGAGGAAGGAACUGAAAAGGUAACCUCCUUAAUGAUAAAUAAAUAAAAUAACAAA
rnacentral:sRNA from 1 species